rnacentral:rRNA from 1 species
UAAGGAAUAUUGGACAAUGGACGCAAGUCUGAUCCAGCCAUGCCGCGUGAAGGAUGAAUGCCCUCUGGGUUGUAAACUUCUUUUAUAGGGGAAGAAAGAUACUUUUUUUAAGGUAGUUGACGGUACCCGCAGAAAAAGCCCCGGCUAACUUCGUGCCAGCAGCCGCGGUAAUACGAAGGGGGCUAGCGUUGCUCGGAAUUACUGGGCGUAAAGCGCACGUAGGCGGACUCUUAAGUCGGUGGUGAAAUCCUGGAGCUCAACUCCAGAACUGCCGUCGAUACUGGGAGUCUUGAGUUAGGGAGAGNUGAGUGGAACUGCGAGUGUAGAGGUGAAAUUCGUAGAUAUUCGCAAGAACACCAGUGGCGAAGGCGGCUCACUGGCCCGAUACUGACGCUGAGGUGCGAAAGCGUGGGGAGCAAACA